rnacentral:rRNA from 1 species
CACGUGAGUUACCUGCCCCGAAGUGGGAGAUAGCCCGGAGAAAUUCGGAUUAAUACCCCAUGUGAUCGAAAGAUUAAAGGCGGCGCAAGCUGUCGCUUCGGGAUGGGCUCGCGGCCUAUCAGCUAGUUGGCGGGGUAACGGCCCACCAAGGCGAUGACGGGUAGCUGAUCUGAGAGGAUGAUCAGUCACACUGGAACUGAGACACGGUCCAGACACCUACGGGUGGCAGCAGUCGAGAAUCAUUCGCAAUGGGCGAAAGCCUGACGGUGCGACGCCGCGUGGAGGAUGAAGGCCCUAGGGUCGUAAACUCCUGUCAUCAGGGAGUAAUGGCUCAUAUAGUAACUGAUAUGGGUCUUGAUAGUACCUGAAGAG